UGCUGAGGACUCACCGAUACAAAGUGGUAGCAUGCCUGAAGGUGGUACAGACCGGCAGAAGAAUGGAGAUAGCAAGUUACAUGGAGCAUCUGGGCCUUUGGUUAACAGUUUAACAAAUGGCAAACAGAGAACAAGGCGGGCCUCCAUGAGCGACCUAGCAAGACCUGUCAUGCGCAUUCUUGGAAACUGGAUUUUGAAGCCAGCUCUCCAUGUGUACAAUGUAGCCGAUCAACUCUACAUUUAAAGGUAGCCGAUCAACUCUACAUUUAAAUGUAGCCGAUCAACUCUACAUUUAAAGGUAGCCGAUCAACUCUACAUUUAAAGGUAGCCGAUCAACUCUACAUUUAAAGGUAGCCGAUCAACUCUACAUUUAAAGGUAGCCGAUCAACUCUACAUUUAAAGGUAGCCGAUCAACUCUACAUUUAAAGGUAGCCGAUCAACUCUACAUUUAAAGGUAGCCGAUCAACUCUACAUUUAAAGGUAGCCGAUCAACUCUACAUUUAAAGGUAGCCGAUCAACUCUACAUUUAAAGGUUUCACAGGUUUAAAGAAACAGAUACACAACAACAACAAAAAUUGUAACAUCUUAUAAAAUUAGACAAAUGUUAAAUUUACACUUUUUUUAUUUCGAAUAGUAUUUGAAAAGCAAAUUAAGUGUCGACAAGAAAGAAAUUGAAGACAUCCAAUAGAGAUUGAUGACGUUACGAUAGCAAAUGUUGUUACAGUUUCAUAACAACAUUUGCUGAACUAGCCAACAUUUUACAGAUACUUUCAGUCAACAUUGAGAAGAAUGUUUUGUUGUACAAAAUCUAAAAAUGGUUGUAUUCAAACACUUGUUGUAUAUCUUUUAAAAUGCUUUUGUGCCAUAUAAAAAAAUAUAUAUGAAUAGAUUUGUAUGACAAUUUUCAAAUGGAUGUUCAAUGAUAUCAUUUUAUCAAUAAACAAAAAGAAACAUAAACAAGGGUCCAAACUUGAUAUGUUGGAAUGCAAGCUUAGUUCUGCAAGUUGAUUCCCCUCCUCUAAGAAAUCCUUGUUUUGUCAUUGCCACCAAGUUGGUGUAACUUAGGACAUGUACAGCAUCAUAUGCUUUGAUUGCAGUUCUGGCAAACUUAGCAUUUUCUAUUGGAUUUGGUACGAUACAUAUAAGGGGUGGCCAAUAUUAUUGCAGUACCAAUAUAUAUUGCAAUAUGAUUUUGAAAUGGUAAUAUAUUACAGCAUAUGUUUUGAAUUAAUUGUUUUGGGGGUUUAAACAAAAUAAUGGAAUAGUUUUACAGAAAUAACAUCAGAUAUUGAGUCAAUCUUAUAAAAAAAAGCAGCAUGCUUCGUGUAAAACCUUCCAAAACUGUAUAAAAUAAUUUUUCAAUUUUUAUUCCUGAUCUGAUGCUCACUUUUCGUAUUUUCUACCAGCGUUUAAAAUCAUUAUUAAUGUACUAAACUUCUAUGAGUACAAUAUAUUCUGAUACAUUGCAAUGUUUCCUGAAGUAUUACAAUAUAUUGUAAUUUAAAAAUUGCUUGCACUACCCACCUUUAAUGGCAGUAGAACAUUUGUAUACUUUAUACAGAGUUCAAAAAAUGCAUGAACGACUAUGCCAAUUAAUAGUCAUUUCAUGCAAAGGUAAAAAGUCCAUCCCAAGGUAAUAUAAUUUGUAUUUUCCUGUUAGUACCUUAGUUUCAAUUUGUCAAAAUGAACCUAUAACUUUAAUAUUCAAAAUGCUUUCUUAUCAGAUGUGUUUGUUUUAUGUUGUCAAAUCUUGCUAUAGUACAUAUAUUUAGGUAAGAAGUAUUAUGCCUUUUCUUGGACAUCUUAAAUUUUAUAAAUGAAGGUUUUGGCAUUUCAUUGCUUGAAAUAUUUUAACUGUACAUGCAUAUUGUAUGCCGAUUUCCCACAUUGAAUUCAUACUGUAUCAGCAAUCUUCACGAAAAAAAUGAUAAUGAUUGACAAAUAUUGAAAAAAAAAAAACAUUCAUAAUUCUUUUACAUGUACUACAUUCUACAUGUGGAAAAAAUUAAACAGGAAUUCUGUUUCAGUUGGCCCGGUGACAACCAGCUGCCCCUGUUUCAAACAAACCCUCUACAGUUAAUCCCUAAGCUGUCACGUUAGCAAUCUCUGUUGAUAGAAGCUCUGUUCAGGAAACAAGCCAUUCCACAAUCAAGAUAUGUUACAACCAACUCCUUGCUAUGAAUUACGUGUCAUGCUAUGCAGGUUUGCUGACAAGACAGGUUACAGAAAUAUAAAAUAGUGUCUGAUUUUACUAGAAGUUAAAGAUUAUACAGAUUUUGUAUGAAAUUCUCGGGUCUUAUGCAAUAGUAAACAUGACUGAUGAUUUUUCCCUCCAGUUUGAUAAGCAUUACUUCUCAUCAAUAAUACAAAUGUGUAAUUACAACUUAAGAACGUAUCAGUAUUUAGUGUCAGUAAGAUGUCUGAAAGGUGUCUGAAGAGUAUAUAAACUAUGUGGGUAGUAUAAACAUUCUGGAUGAGAUGUAACAAAUGUGAUUUGGGGGGAGGGAAGGGAGUGAAAAUAUUUUUCAAUAUGGUACAUACCAUCCCAGAUUUAAAAUCUGUAAAUGAAUGUUAUUUUUAACAUAGAUUGUGCCUUUUCUUAGAAUGUACUGUUAUUGCUAUGUGCCUGUUUAAAUUUCUACAUAUUUACAUAUAUGUUCCAUGCACAGCAUAUUUAUAACCAUAGACAUGUCUUAAAAUAUUUUUAAAGAUAAGUUCGCUUAAUACAUUGUAUGUGUUUUUUCCCCAAAUUAUUUUCCAUGAGACAUUUGUUGGAUAGAAAUGAGAUUGGUGUAGCGCAUGUAAUUAAGAACUUGUAAUAUAGAAUUGUACAUUGUAGUCGAUCUGCAUGCAAAAAAUAAGCAGAUUAUAGUUUUGUAAAUUCCACAAACUUUGUAACUAGAUAGUUGAUAGUAGGUUUUUCCUAUCAAUGAAAUAGAAUUGACUUCAGCAUGAAAUGCAACAAGAUUGUAAAUACAUUCACACCAUGACAUAUAUUCAGAGUAUCAGUCCUAAAUACUUCAGGGAUUUAGUCUUAAAUACAACAGGUAAUUAGUCCUAAAUUCAUCAGGGAAUUAGUCCUAAAUAAACAGGAAGUUAGUCCUAAAAACAUGACAUCUAACAAACAUUUCUACUGUGCCAUAACAAAUAGGAAUCAAUUAGGUGUUGAUUGCUUUUAAGAUAACCAAGGAUUAAUGUCUGGAUGUAAUAGCUCCCUCUAAUUAGCUUAAGUCAACUUAUCAAAAUAUCUCCAAUAACUAUGUAUUAUUUGUGAGAUGUCCUCAAAUACUCAUUGGAGAUUUCAUGUUGAAUAUUUCCGAUAUGAACAUCCAAUUCAGAUUAAAUAUUCAUAUCAGGUUGAAUUAUCGUGCUGCAUUGAAUAUUCAUGCCUGAUUGAUAAUUCAUUCCACAUUGAAAAUUCAUGUCAGACUGAGCAGUUGAUUCUUGGUGCAAAGAAACAUGUUUAUAAUGAACUCAAAAGGACCUUAGAUGUCAAUUUUUUUAUUAUUAAUACUUAUAAAGAAUUUUAGCAUGCAUGAUACAUUUCCUUAUCACAGAGAAAAGAUACAUUCAUUAUAAGCAUGUUUUCAAACUUCGUCAUCACAUAAAAUGUUUUAAUCAAGAAAUUAGGAAUCAUUUGAUUUUCAUUGGGUUUAAGGUAUCAAUUCAUUUAACAUCAUGUACAAGAGAGAUAGACACAAUAAAACCUCUUUAUUCUGCCACGACGUAAUGUCAAGCAAUGUUUUGGCAUUGUAAAGGGAUUUGGCGAAACAUGAAAUUUGAUAUAUGUUAAGAAUUGUGAAGAACAAAGUUAAAGUGGACCCGAAUUAUUUUGGUGGUUAGGGAGGUGACAAAUAAAGUGCAGAACUCUAUGUUUAGUAUUUUAUUCUGAGGUUUUAUUGUUUAUGUAAAUAAUAAAAAUUAUAAGGAGUUGUUAAAGGAUAAUUAUUUAUGGUAAUUUGUAGAUUUAUUAAGGUAAAAUAUUAUUGGAGAUUUUGUCAAUGCUGUCACGGUUGUAAGUGUCUGUUGAACUAUUAUUUGCUAUAACGUAGGAAUGUACAUAAAUGAGAAGUGCCAUUCUGGGAAGUAAUAAAAUGAUGUGCUAUCAGACUUUAUGGUCUGUUGUUCUAAUUGUCUUCUGUAGUUGGGUUUUCUGAUGAUGGAAUCAUCGAAAAAGUCAUGUAUUCUAAUAAAAUGUUUCUGUUAAAUUUAAUGUGAUUAUAUAAUAAUGUUAGUUAGUUAUGAAUGAUUAUUUUGUAUCAAUUGUUUUUAUGUUGCAAUUAAUAUAUUUUAAUAUAUCAGUAGUUACACAAUGACUUGUCAAAUGUACCUUACGUUUUGCGGAACAAAAUUUGGCUCUUCACUGAUGCUUUGAAAACAAACCAAGGAAAUUAAAACUUUCACAGAAUGUAUAUUUCAGGUACUGUUUUUAGUAUUAUGAUUUCUUCCAAUCAAAAUAAGCAGAUAAAUAUUUUUCGAUUUUGAUAACUUAUUUACAGUUUUUUUUUAUAUGGAUUUGUCUUAAAACAUAUCUUAAAAUGUGCAAUCGUGUAAGCUACUUAUUUUGUCAUUUUUUUUUUGACAAAAAACUUUGUAAAUCUCCCCUAGAUUUUUUUUUUUUUUUUUUUUUUUUACCGUUAUUGGAAUUUGUACAUUUAUUGGUUUUGAAAGUUAAGAAGCACAACAUAAGAAUACUUCUUGACCUGAUGUUAUAAGUGAUAUGCCAAAAAAUUGUAUUUUUCAGUCUUCAAGUGUAUUUUAACUGUUGGAGAUGUCCGGGCUUAAUCACAAAAUCUAAGAUUUCAUAAAAAGAAAAAAAUAACAGUGCACCCAACAGUGUCUCCAGAAUCCUAUUCAUAUCAUUUCAGAAAAGAGAAGAAAAUAGUGAUCUAGUACUGUAAAGUUAGACAUUUUUGCAGUGUGGAAAUGUUCGUGUUUUUUGGAUUGAUUAAAUCCGAGCGAAAAUAUCCACACGCAAAUAUAUAUUUCAAGAUUAUAGAUAUCCUGGUAUAUACUAUAUAUAAUAGAAUACAAAGAUAGCUGAACCAAAACACUUCCAUGCUGCAAUCUGUUUAACUCAUUCACCCAUGAAGACACAUUUGAACUCUUCCAAUUCAAAUGUUGGAAUAGUUUAUUAUGAAAUUUGAGGGGUGAAUGAGUUAAAGAUUAAAAACAAGAAAUUUCUAUGCACAAAUAUUUUCACUUUUACAAUGAAUUAGUGCGAGAACAUCAAAAUGGGAUAUAUAAAGAUAUAUAAAUGUUAACCAUGGUCUAUGUUAUUUGUAAGCAAAUGACCUUCACAUAUCAGGGUAAAUAUUAGUACCCUUUUUGAAAUAGGGGAAAAUAUGCAUUGUAGAUGCAUGACCCUUUAGCGAGGGCUGCAGGCCAGAGCCAGAGGGAGAGUGCAAGAGGGGCAUGGUUACAUCUUUAAUUUUGUUUCUCGCUGUUCAUUAUAGAUGUAAAAUAUCAGCAGUGACAAUUAACAACAACACUGGGAAAAUGAAAUAAAUGACUCAGAUGUGGAACUAACAAACGGGAAAUAAUUACUACAAAAUAAAACCGAGACAGAUAUUCAUGUUUAAUUACAAGUUACAAGUGGGAAAUUUUAAACUGAAAUAGAGCAAAAUAAAGCUGAAAUAGGGGGAAAUAAUGCCAAAAUUGGAGAGGGGAACUGGCCCGUACUCGGCCAUAAUAAAGGCCUGUAUAUAUCCAUGCAUAUGUAAGAAUAGAUCAUAGGUCAGGAUCUUUUUCAAGUGUUGAAGUGUAUUUACAAUAGGUACAGUACUUUGAUGAAUUGUUUAUUGUUGUAACUGCUGUUAAUUUGUUUUUCUUUGCAAAGUUAUAAUCUACACAAAUGCAAGGGUGUGACAAUUAGCAUAAGAAAAGGCCUGUAAAGUAUGUAAGCUUUUAUGAUCAUUUUAUAAUAAUCUUAUAAUGAUAUUGUUACAAUAUGUUUUAUGAAUCAGUAUAUCUGUGUAACGCUAACAGGAAAGAGAGUAGUAUGCUUUCACCGGGGAUCGAACCCACGAUCCCACGAACCCACGAUCCCACGAACCCACGAUCCCAGACUUCCUAGUCGGAUGCUCUACUACUUUGCGAAAGGGAAAUUUCCUCUAGCGUGAAGCUAGAAGAUGACUGUAAUCCUAUGUACAAUUAAAAUAUGCCGCACCACUUCCCCUUUAAAAUAUGUUUACCCUCAAACACAACAACAACCCAGGUGCUAACUUUCUUUCACUACAGGGAGGGCCACAGACACUGUUUGUAACAGGAAAAAGAGUAGUGUGUUUCCACAGGGUAUGGAACCCAAGAUCCCUAGUCUUUAGCUGAUGCCUCUACAAUACAUUUUAUAGACGGAUGCCUAUAUCUAGCCAACUUAAAUUAUUCUUCUAAAAUAAUUAUUUAUUAUUACCUUUUUUUUCCAUAGUUUUUAUCUACACUGAUAAUUUUAAUUGUAAUCAUGUAAUAAUAAAUACUACAAAUACUAUGGUCACACAGUUGUCAUUUGAUAGAUUUGUUAAGUUUAUCGCUCGUUUAAUUCAAGGUGAAAUAUUAAUAUAUAGAAAAACCGUCUAAACAGUUUCGAAGUUUUUACUAAUUUAAAAAAGUAAUGAAUUUCUGCUAAAAUAUGACAUUAUUUUCUACAAAUAGACUUAUUAUUUUGUUAACGUUAUUUAGGAUAGCAAGAUACCGCAUAAUAAAAUAGCAAGAAUUGAUUUUUUUCGUAUGAAUGUACCUUUUAGUCAGAUAUUUUACUGAAGUAAUUGAUGGGAUUAAAACUAAACUCAUUGUUUAAUUUGAUAAUUCAAGUAAAAUGUUUUGGCCAUGUCUGCCUUAAUGGAAUGUUGAUGUCGUAACUUUUUAGAAUAGUUUAGAUAUUUUUCUAGUCUUUUGUUUCACCACUUUUUGGAAAAUUGGUUGUUAAUUUUAUUAUGUUUCAAAAAUGAUAGUUCUGAUGAUGUACUUAACUUGUAUGAUAUAUUAUAAGAAAGAUUAAAUGUUUAUGUAUAGUAGGUAUAUAAAAAAAAUAUCUAACGACGAAGUAGCAAAAUAAGCUGCUUUCACCCUUCACAUGGCUCUUCUGGUUUGUUUCUGAAGAGCACUUUGAAGGGUGAAAACAGCUUGUUUUUCUAGACGGUGGUUAGAUUUUAUAUGACCAGCACACGAUUACCCUUCUUCUGGAUAUACUGUUUUCGACUCGGGUGUUUGUACAUGUAUUUAUAUUGUCUUCUUUUUUGUCUUGUGGUAUCAUCUUCAUUUUUUUUUGUAUCUUUGACUUACGAUUUUGCCUGUAUAUCUACUGACGUUGUAUUACAGUUUUUACGCUGUAUUACGUUUUUUUUCCUAAUUUUACCUAACUUUACUUUGACUUACAUCUCUUUACCAAAAUACUCAGUGUAAUUAUGAAGUAAGGAGGCACUUAUUUAGAAAAAUAAUAAUAUGAAAGUCGAUAUGGAAACCUAAACAAUGGAAACAGUUCAAAACUUAACAAGUUGAUAACAGGAUGGAAAGGUACCUGUAACAAAAAACCGUGUUGUGUUAAUGCUCAAGUAAGUCUGAAUUAUUAAAUUUGACAACUGAUGAACUCUUGCGAAAAUCGUAAGUGUCAAACUAGGCGAUUGUAUUAUAGAUUAAUGUAAUAUUACCAAGAUUGUACCUAUCAAUUAGAAACCUAUUAAUGCAUGACAACAUCUUUAAUAUAUUAUUUCUAAAAAGAAACGCAUAGCUUGCAGAACUUUAAUGACACAAAACAAAGACGUGUAAACAAUAUAAAAUCCAUAACAGUAUUCUGAGGAUUAAAAUACAUGCGCUGGGUCCGGGAUCCGAACACUGAACCGCCAGUUAUAAUACGAUCGCUCUAUAUACCUGAAUGGCCCUAUAGCUAUCGUACUAGCUGUAUCCAAACAAAAUUAAGGGAGAGGUCACUCUUUGUUUGAAGAACUACAGUGAAAUUCUCGAGUGAUUUGCCAGUUAUGGGACAGGGAUCCUUAAUAAGUGUUUGGUAGAUCAAUUGGUUAUGAACGUGUGGAAUCUUUGAAAGGCGAGGUACUGCACACUCUUCAGUUAAAUGUCUUUUGUGACUCGUUACUCGAGGGCUAUUUUUAAAUGGACAUGGAUAUGCCCUUUUGAUGAACAGUGUUCACAAUAUAUAUAAGAGAAAUUUGCAGGUUACUAUCUUUGCCUGAUCUUAAGGACCCCUGUUCCACUGCACUGUGGUUUUUCGAAUAAACAGUGAUUUCCCCUUAAUUUCGUUUUGGAUAUAACUGUAGUACAGUGAGCCAGAACGCUUUUUUGAGCAGGUAGCGCAGUUGAUUAGAGCUUCUUAUGUUUCCUAGGUGUUUCUUAAUCGUCUUGUAAGUUAUGAUUUUCAUUUCAUACAAAAUUCAUUAAAGCUACAGUCAUGCCGGAAAAAUAUUCCAAAGGAAAGUUACAUUUUUUCGACAGUACUGGUACGAGGAUCCUUAAGCGUUAAGAUUUUAAACCUGUUCACGGUGUCUUUAUAUUUUUGGUCCCUUCUGUACUUUCUCGGGUUAAAAGGAUACAUACGGUGCAGGAAAAGUCCAUCUGUCCUGAGCACCAGUGUUUUAAUGUCUCCUAAGUAUGGUGCCUGAAAUGCUGAUGUUUCCAGGGAACCUGUUUUUACACUUCUGUUUUUUUGUUGGAGUACUUGAUGUCUUUCAAUUUGUUCUGAAGUCUCGUAAGUGCCUGCUGUAUAAUAAUCAUAUUGACCUUGACUUCAGAUACUUUACAAUGUCGUUAUAUGGGUUACUGUAAUAUAGAAAACUUCUGCGUGUGGAUUUUUCGUUUUCUUUUUCAACUAUUUUCAAUUUUUGUACAUUCCUCGAUGGUAAUGCUGCAGCAAGAUAUACCAUAUGAUGUCGAUCUGUUCAUAUUUGGUAAACGCAAACAUAAAAGUAAACAAAGAAGUAAAUAUAUGUACUAUAUAUAUAAAACCACAAUGCAAAAGUUUCCCUGUUGACAGUUUUUUUUUCAAUAUGUUUCUUUUGAAAUACAUGUAUGCUUAUUGUUACUGCUUCAAUGAUAUAUGAACUUGUCCAUUAAAAUAUAACCAACGAUAA